rnacentral:rRNA from 1 species
UAGGGAAUAUUGGACAAUGGGGGCAACCCUGAUCCAGCCAUGCCGCGUGAGUGAAGAAGGCCCUCGGGUUGUAAAGCUCUUUUGUCCGGAAAGAAAAGCUUCGGGUUAAUACCCCGGGGUUCUGACGGUACCGGAAGAAUAAGCACCGGCUAACUUCGUGCCAGCAGCCGCGGUAAUACGAAGGGUGCAAGCGUUACUCGGAAUUACUGGGCGUACAGCGUGCGUAGGUGGUUGUUUAAGUCUGAUGUGAAAGCCCUGGGCUCAACCUAGGAAUGGCAUUGGAAACUGGGCAGCUAGGAUGCGGUAGAGGGUAGUGGAAUUCCCGGUGUAACAGUGAAAUGCGGAGAGAUCGGGAGGAACAUCUGUGGCGAAGG